rnacentral:lncRNA from 1 species
AGUCUGGGUUUACUAACCGCACCUCCCCUCCCCACUUUAGCCCAGCACGCCUCCCAACGCCCUCCUGCUUUUUCCUUUCUCCCCGUUCCCCUUCUUCCUCUUUCUCACCCCGAAGCCUUCACCUCCGGAUCUGCCUUCUCCCCAAGCCCCUCUACUCCAGCCGAAGCCUUCACCUGCGGCCUUGCCUCCUCCCGACGCCCCUCUACUCUGGUCAAACCUUCACCUCCGGCAUGAAGCCUGUCCCCGAAGCCCCUUCACCUACGGAUCUGCCUCACUCCGGCCCGAAGCCCAAACCCGAAGCCCCUUCACCUCCGGAUCUGCCUCCUCCCGAAGCCCCUCCACUCCGGCCGAAGCCCCUCCACUCCGGCCGAAGCCCUUCACCUCCGGCCCGAAGCCCUUUCCCGAAGCCCCUUCACCUACAAUUCCGCCUCCUCCCGACGCCUCUCCACUCCGGCCGAAGCCCUUCAUAUCCAGCCCGAACCCCUUCUCCGAAGCCCCUCCACGGCCGGAUCUGCCUCUUCGCGACGCCCCUCUACUCCGGCCGAACCUUCACCUCUAGCCCGAAGCCCUUCCCCAAAG